rnacentral:rRNA from 1 species
GAUGAACGCUGGCGGCGUGCCUAAUACAUGCAAGUCGAGCGAACGGACGAGAAGCUUGCUUUUCUGAUGUUAGCGGCGGACGGGUGAGUAACACGUGGAUAACCUACCUAUAAGACUGGGAUAACUUCGGGAAACCGGAGCUAAUACCGGAUAAUAUUUUGAACCGCAUGGUUCAAAAGUGAAAGACGGUCUUGCUGUCACUUAUAGAUGGAUCCGCGCUGCAUUAGCUAGUUGGUAAGGUAACGGCUUACCAAGGCAACGAUGCAUAGCCGACCUGAGAGGGUGAUCGGCCACACUGGAACUGAGACACGGUCCAGACUCCUACGGGAGGCAGCAGUAGGGAAUCUUCCGCAAUGGGCGAAAGCCUGACGGAGCAACGCCGCGUGAGUGAGGAAGGUCUUCGGAUCGUAAAACUCUGUUAUUAGGGAAGAACAUAUGUGUAAGUACUGUGCACAUCUUGACGGUACCUAAUCAGAAAGCCACGGCUAACUACGUG